rnacentral:rRNA from 1 species
AGCGAACGCUGGCGGCAGGCCUAACACAUGCAAGUCGAGCGGCAGCGGGAAAGUAGCUUGCUACUUUUGCCGGCGAGCGGCGGACGGGUGAGUAAUGCCUGGGAAAUUGCCCAGUCGAGGGGGAUAACAGUUGGAAACGACUGUUAAUACCGCAUACGCCCUACGGGGGAAAGCAGGGGACCUUCGGGCCUUGCGCGAUUGGAUAUGCCCAGGUGGGAUUAGCUAGUUGGUGAGGUAAUGGCUCACCAAGGCGACGAUCCCUAGCUGGUCUGAGAGGAUGAUCAGCCACACUGGAACUGAGACACGGUCCAGACUCCUACGGGAGGCAGCAGUGGGGAAUAUUGCACAAUGGGGGAAACCCUGAUGCAGCCAUGCCGCGUGUGUGAAGAAGGCCUUCGGGUUGUAAAGCACUUUCAGCGAGGAGGAAAGGUUGAUGCCUAAUACGUAUCAACUGUGACGUUACUCGCAGAAGAAGCACCGGCUAACUCCGUGCCAGCCGCCGCGGUAAGAC